rnacentral:rRNA from 1 species
UACGGAGGGUCCAAGCGUUAUCCGGAAUCAUUGGAUUUAAAGGGUCCGUAGGCGGUUUUGUAAGUCAGUGGUGAAAGCCCAUCGCUCAACGGUGGAACGGCCAUUGAUACUGCAAGACUUGAAUUAUUAGGAAGUAACUAGAAUAUGUAGUGUAGCGGUGAAAUGCUUAGAUAUUACAUGGAAUACCAAUUGCGAAGGCAGGUUACUACUAAUGGAUUGACGCUGAUGGACGAAAGCGUGGGGAGCGAACAGG